CUCUCUCUCUCUCUCUCUCUCUCUCUCUCUCUCUCUCUCUCUCUUCCCUCUCUCUCUCUCUCUCCCAAUCCCACCAGCCAUGGAGCCAUAACUACUCAACCACCUUUCUCUACAAUCUACAGGUUAGACAAGAGUGGGAAAAAGGAAGAGAAAGGAAACAAGACAGAAGGACAUGAAGUGGAUCUGCUAAUUCUUCAGUCUCAGAGUUGAAUCAAGCAAAUAUUUGGAGGUAAUGGAUUUCCUCAGCAAGGGAUCGGGCUAAUUUUAAGAGUGUAGGUGAGUUUCAUCUUGAGCCUUUGAAGAAUGUCUGAAAUCACUAGAGGUUGAGUACAUCACUGAGAGGAGCCCUGUAAAAUAUAUAAAGCCUAG
rnacentral:lncRNA from 1 species